rnacentral:rRNA from 1 species
GACGAACCGAGCGAACGUUAUUCGGAAUCACUGGGCUUAAAGGGCGCGUAGGCGGGUGAUCAAGUCAGGGGUGAAAGCCCCCAGCUCAACUGGGGAAGUGCCUCUGAUACUGGUCAUCUCGAGGGAGGUAGGGGCGUGCGGAACUUCCGGUGGAGCGGUGAAAUGCGUAGAUAUCGGAAGGAACACCGGUGGCGAAAGCGGCGCGCUGGACCUCUUCUGACGCUGAGGCGCGAAAGCCAGGGGAGCGAACGGG